rnacentral:tRNA from 1 species
GGUCCAUUCGUCUAGGGGUUAGGACACCAGAUUUUCAUUCUGGUAACAGGGGUUCGAUUCCCCUAUGGACUACCA